GCCGGAAGCCAGUGGUCCCGGAUGUCGCAAAAGGGAGCUGACACGCGCACAUGCGAGUAAGCAAAAAGUUACGCUCGCCUACGCUCGAGGCGCCUGCUGUUCCAAGUAUAAGCGUGGCAAGGUAGAGCAAAAGAGACGGGAAGAGAAGGGAAGACGUAAAACGCACGGUCAACGGCCUGUUCUUUGCGGGAAUUCUAAAUACAUUUAACGUACAAGCCAAUGCGUUACCGUUACGGUUGCACUGUCACUAGAAAAGUUCACUGGUCCUUUUCUCUGGUUAUCUUUGAUAAAGUUAAAUGUGCUCGACCGAAUUUACUUCUGAAUUUUCAAGCUUCUUGUCAGUGUUGAUGGACAUAUGACAUCAAUGGUGUCACGAGUGUGGUUCGACCCAGCCAACCCUCGAACUCCCCAAAAUCGAGAACAUAAAAUCGGCUGUGGAAAAUCGUUCGGAUAGAUAUAUAUUUUCUCCGUAUAUUGCACAUAUUUUUAGGUAAGCAGCGAAAUAAUACGAAAUUAGAACGCUCGCGGCCUUUGUACGAGCCGACGUCGUCAUUAGUCGUUUGAAGGCUCACGAUGUACGUUACGUUACGUUACGUAUGUUCCAAUCUACCAUCGUUCUAUCCCUGGGAGGCAUUAUUAUCGCCAGUAUCCAGAAUAGCAAUGUAAGCGUGUGUGGCCUUUUCGACUAAUCUCAUCAGCUUGCUUUCAUCGGUUAUUCAAAUUCGGAUGUCCAAUGGUAACCAGAUGUAUUUAUUAAUUAAUCUAACUGAUAUUCUCGUAAAGCAAUUUACUUUAUCUCUUAUUCUUAUUUCAUAUUUGAUAUAAAUAUAUAUGUAUUGUAUAUGUGUAACAUAUUUGAAAAU